UAAGGGGGGUGCAAGAGUUGUUCGGAAUCACUGGGUGUAAAGGGCAGGUAGGCGGGCCGAUAAGUCGGAUGUGAAAACCCCGUGGCUUAACCCGGGGCCGGCAUUGGAAACUAUCGGUCUUGAGUGCGGAAGAGGGAGAUGGAAUUCCUGGUGUAACGGUGAAAUGUGUAUAUAUCAGGAAGAACACCGGUGGCGAAGGCGGUCUCCUGGUCCGCUACUGACGCUGAGCUGCGAAAGCUAGGGUAGCAAACAGG
rnacentral:rRNA from 1 species